AGUGAACGCUGGCCGUAGGCCUAACACAUGCAAGUCGAACGGCAGCACAGUAAGAGCUUGCUCUUACGGGUGGCGAGUGGCGGACGGGUGAGGAAUACAUCGGAAUCUACUUUUUCGUGGGGGAUAACGUAGGGAAACUUACGCUAAUACCGCAUACGACCUACGGGUGAAAGCAGGGGAUCUUCGGACCUUGCGCGAUUGAAUGAGCCGAUGUCGGAUUAGCUAGUUGGCGGGGUAAAGGCCCACCAAGGCGACGAUCCGUAGCUGGUCUGAGAGGAUGAUCAGCCACACUGGAACUGAGACACGGUCCAGACUCCUACGGGAGGCAGCAGUGGGGAAUAUUGGACAAUGGGCGCAAGCCUGAUCCAGCCAUACCGCGUGGGUGAAGAAGGCCUUCGGGUUGUAAAGCCCUUUUGUUGGGAAAGAAAAGCAGCAGGUUAAUACCCCGCUGUUCUGACGGUACCCAAAGAAUAAGCACCGGCUAACUUCGU
rnacentral:rRNA from 1 species